AGUAGGGUAGACUAAAAGAAGUCGUCGGGCCCAUACCCUGAAAAUGAGAUUAUCUCCCCUGUU
rnacentral:tRNA from 1 species